AGCUUUGCACAGUGGCAGUAUCGUAGCCAAUGAGGUUUAUCUGAGGCGCGAUUAUUGCUAAAAUACUAAAGAGAAAAAAAAAGAACAAAGGGCCAUGAGCUACAUGAACUAAUUGUAUUAAAUAUUUGGUGUAGGGAAACUGUCUCCCU
ensembl:snRNA LOC120102555 U4 spliceosomal RNA